rnacentral:rRNA from 1 species
UACGUAGGGGGCGAGCGUUGUCCGGAAUUAUUGGGCGUAAAGCGCGCGCAGGCGGCUGUUUAAGUCUGGUGUUUAAUCCUGGGGCUCAACCCCGGGUCGCACUGGAAACUGGGCAGCUUGAGUGCAGAAGAGGAGAGUGGAAUUCCAUGUGUAGCGGUGAAAUGCGUAGAUAUAUGGAGGAACACCAGUGGCGAAGGCGACUCUCUGGUCUGUAACUGACACUGAGGCGCGAAAGCGUGGGGAGCAAACAGGAUUAGAUACCCG